GGGAUAAUAGUAUAGUGGUCAGUACUUCUCGUUGUGGUUAAAACCCAACAUCCGAGAGGACCCAGGUUCGAUUCCUGGUUAUCCCA